CGCAAGGGGAGUGGCAGACGGGUGAGUAACGCGUGGGAACAUACCCUUUCCUGCGGAAUAGCUCCGGGAAACUGGAAUUAAUACCGCAUACGCCCUACGGGGGAAAGAUUUAUCGGGGAAGGAUUGGCCCGCGUUGGAUUAGCUAGUUGGUGGGGUAAAGGCCUACCAAGGCGACGAUCCAUAGCUGGUCUGAGAGGAUGAUCAGCCACAUUGGGACUGAGACACGGCCCAAACUCCUACGGGAGGCAGCAGUGGGGAAUAUUGGACAAUGGGCGCAAGCCUGAUCCAGCCAUGCCGCGUGAGUGAUGAAGGCCUUAGGGUUGUAAAGCUCUUUCACCGAUGAAGAUAAUGACGGUAGUCGGAGAAGAAGCCCCGGCUAACUUCGUGCCAGCAGCCGCGGUAAUACGAAGGGGGCUAGCGUUGUUCGGAAUUACUGGGCGUARAGCGCACGUAGGCGGAUAUUUAAGUCAGGGGUGAAAUCCCGCAGCUCAACUGCGGAACUGCCUUUGAUACUGGGUAUCUUGAGUAUGGAAGAGGUAAGUGGAAUUCCGAGUGUAGAGGUGAAAUUCGUAGAUAUUCGGAGGAACACCAGUGGCGAAGGCGGCUUACUGGUCCAUUACUGA
rnacentral:rRNA from 1 species